rnacentral:misc_RNA from 1 species
AACCUGCCACCAUCUUUAACAAAAUAAACAUUUAGUAGCAUUAUGCUCUUAUAACAUAGAGUUUUUUCUUGACUAGUUGUAGUCUCUUGCAUAAUCUCUGCGUAUCCUAGGAUUGACUUUCUGCUUGAAUGCUAGGAUAAGAUAGGUUUGACUCAAUUAAUUUGUAAAAUUUCAAAAAUGAAGAAAGAGUAUAAAAGAAAAAAAGGGGAUUGCUAUAGUCUAUAUUUAAGCCUGUAUAUAAUUUUGCAUACUAAAUAGUUGGCAUUUUAAUUUUUCUUCUUAUUGUUAUUCAUUGACAAACUCAUUAUGUGCCUAAUUUAGCUAAUGCGGAAUUUAUUUUGAUAAUAUAGGGUGCACAACUUAGCAUUUUGAAAACAUUUCACUCAUAUUCAUACUUCAACGACUUUGAUUCAGGAAGUGGAAAGUAUUGUGGAUC